UACGAAGGGGGCUAGCGUUGCUCGGAAUUACUGGGCGUAAAGGGCGCGUAGGCGGAUAGUUUAGUCAGAGGUGAAAGCCCAGGGCUCAACCUUGGAAUUGCCUUUGAUACUGGCUAUCUUGAGUACGGAAGAGGUAUGUGGAACUCCGAGUGUAGAGGUGAAAUUCGUAGAUAUUCGGAAGAACACCAGUGGCGAAGGCGACAUACUGGUCCGUUACUGACGCUGAGGAACGAAAGCGUGGGGAGCGAACAGG
rnacentral:rRNA from 1 species